UAGGGAAUCUUCCGCAAUGGACGCAAGUCUGACGGAGCAACGCCGCGUGAGUGAAGAAGGAUUUCGGUUCGUAAAACUCUGUUGUUAGAGAAGAACAGCGCAUAGAGUAACUGUUAUGCGUGUGACGGUAUCUAACCAGAAAGCCACGGCUAACUACGUGCCAGCAGCCGCGGUAAUACGUAGGUGGCAAGCGUUUUCCGGAUUUAUUGGGCGUAAAUCGAGCGCAGACGGUUAGAUAAGUCUGAAGUUAAAGGCAGUGGCUCAACCAUUGUAGGCUUUCGAAACUGUUUAACUUGAGUGCAGAAGGGGAGAGUGGAAUUCCAUGUGUAGCGGUGAAAUGCAUGGUUAUAUGGAGGAACACCGGUGGCGAAAGCGGCUCUCUGAUCUGUAACUGACGCUGAGGCUCGAAAGCGUGGGGAGCGAGCAGG
rnacentral:rRNA from 1 species